rnacentral:rRNA from 1 species
GAUUUCUGGCUUGAAACAUUUUGCCGGCCACGGUUUCGUGUGUUAGUGCUUGAUGUUCUGGCCAUCCUUCCAAUUGCUAUUCACCUUUCUUCAUUGAUUGGUGAGUGGUAUUGGAUCUUUUACUUUGAAAAAAUUAGAGUGUUUCAAGCAGGCGACUCGCUGUGAAUACAUUAGCAUGGAAUAAUAACUUAGGACUUCGGUUCUAUUUUGUUGGUUUCUAGGACUGAAGUAAUGAUUGAUAGGGAUAGUUGGGGGUGCUAGUAUUCAGUGGCCAGAGGUGAAAUUCUCGGAUUCACUGAAGACUAACUUAUGCGAAAGCAUU